rnacentral:rRNA from 1 species
CACGUAGUUAGCCGGGGCUUCUUAGUCAGGUACCGUCAUCUUCUUCCCUGCUGAUAGAGCUUUACAUACCGAAAUACUUCAUCGCUCACGCGGCGUCGCUGCAUCAGGGUUUCCCCCAUUGUGCAAUAUUCCCCACUGCUGCCUCCCGUAGGAGUUUGGGCCGUGUCUCAGUCCCAAUGUGGCCGGUCGCCCUCUCAGGUCGGCUACUGAUCGUCGCCUUGGUGGGCCGUUACCCCGCCAACUAGCUAAUCAGACGCGGGCCCAUCCCAUACCACCGGAGUUUUUACCGCUGUGCCAUGCGGCACCGCGGUCUUAUGCGGUAUUAGCAGUCAUUUCUAACUGUUAUCCCCCCGUAUGGGGCAGGUUGCCCACGCGUUACUCACCCGUCCGCCGCUCAGUCAAACCGCCUUUCCUCCGAAGAUUCAAGGCCGAGUGCUUCGCUCGACUUGCAUGUGUUAAGCACGCCGCCAGCGUUCAUCCUGAGCCAGGAUCAAACUCU